rnacentral:rRNA from 1 species
UACGUAUGGUGCAAGCGUUAUCCGGAUUUACUGGGCGUAAAGGGAGCGCAGGCGGCGCGCCAAGUCUGAUGUGAAACCCCGGGGCUCAACCCCGGGCAUGCGUUGGAAACUGGCGGGCUGGAGUGCCGGAGAGGUAAGCGGAAUUCCUAGUGUAGCGGUGAAAUGCGUAGAUAUUGGGAGGAACACCAGUGGCGAAGGCGGCUUACUGGACGGCAACUGACGCUGAGGCUCGAAAGCGUGGGGAGCAAACAGG